UUGAAAGGGAAACGAUUGAAGUCAGUCGUACCUGCGGGUAAUCAGCCUUUUGGGCAUGAUUCUGUGGAGCGUGAGGAGUUAAACGCCUUCAUGCCUGCAUAUUCGUGUACUUUGGGUGUACAUGCCUGUGUGGUUAGUUAACAUCAAUUUUGGUUAUCAUAAAAUGGUUGGAGGAAUGUAGCUUCGAUUUCGAUUGAAGUGUUAUAGCCUUCGGCAGAUGUGAUGGUCGGGAUUGAGGAUUGCAACGGAUACCCUUCGGGGCUACCUGUCUGGUCUCUGAUCGUUGCUCUGGUGCCGAAAGCGUGCUUACGGUUAUCAAAGUCGAUGGUCAAUAGGUUAGAACGGGUUAAAUUCGUUAAGGAUGUUGACGUA
rnacentral:rRNA from 1 species